rnacentral:rRNA from 1 species
CGCCCGCCGCGCCCCGCGCCCGUCCCGCCGCCCCCGCCCGAUUAGAUACCCGUGUAGUCCCGGCCGUAAACGAUGCGGGCUAGCUGUCGGUCGGGCUUAGGGCCCGGCCGGUGGCGAAGGGAAACCGUUAAGCCCGCCGCCUGGGGAGUACGGCCGCAAGGCUGAAACUUAAAGGAAUUGGCGGGGGGGCACCACAAGGGGUGAAGCUUGCGGCUUAAUUGGAGUCAACGCCGGAAACCUCACCCGGGGCGACAGCAGGAUGAA